rnacentral:rRNA from 1 species
AUUGAACGCUGGCGGCAGGCCUAACACAUGCAAGUCGAGCGAGCGGCGGACGGGUGAGUAAUGUAUGGGGACUGCCCGAUAGAGGGGGAUAACUACUGGAAACGGUAGCUAAUACCGCAUACUAUCGGAUAACCCAUAUGGGAUUAGCUAGUAGGUGAGGUAAUGGCUCACCUAGGCGACGAUCCCUAGCUGGUCUGAGAGGAUGAUCAGCCACCCUGGGACUGAGAAAGGGCCCAGACUCCUACGGAGGCGGCAGUGGGGAAUAUUGCACAAUGGGCGCAAGCCGGCUGCAGCCCUGCCGGGGGUAUGAAGAAGGCCUUGGAGUUGUAAAGUACUUUCAGUCGGGAGGCGGUACCGACAGAAAAAGCACCGGCUAACUCCGUGCCAGCAGCCGCGGUAAUUC